GUGUUAUGUGAACGUCGACUACAUAACACUUCACCAUUAUUUCGGCCUAGAGGAAGGCAUUGGAAAGUAGUAAGUAGAUGAUGGGUUGCUAGAGUGACAGAAGCUUAAACCCUAGUUUAUGCGUUGCUUCCUAAGGGGCUGAUUUGGAUCCACUAGUUUAAUGUUAUGGUUAGAUUUUGUCUUAAUUCUUCUUUCGUAGUUGCGGAUGCUUGCGAGAGGAGUUAAUCAUAAAUCGGAUGCUUGUCCAAGUAAGGGAAGUACCCAAGCCCGGU
rnacentral:lncRNA from 1 species